rnacentral:lncRNA from 1 species
GCAAAAAAUUAGCUUGCUUGCAGCAGUAGGUUUACAAAGAAAGAGACGAAAUGGCUUUAAAUUGUAAUUAUCUAUUUGUCAAAAUAGACUGUGAGUGUCUUGAACAUUUCAUCCAAAUAAAUAAUCAAAUUGAUGUCCAGUAUGUUGAUCGAUAUAAGACAGGAAACUGAAAAAUCUAGCAUGUUAAUGUCGUAUGUAAAUAAAGCACUUACAGUUUCUCUUUUUGUUCUAACUUAAUUAUGUCGGGGUAAAUAGUUUUAAUUUUUAAGGACAGAAUGUCUUCUUCAAAGCAAUCAAAUUGAAUUUUUUCUAGACCAUCUGUAACAGAAUCGUUAUAAGAAGAAAAUUUAAUAUCUUUUAAAAGAAGAACAUGACCUGGACUUUUACUAAUGUUCAUCGUUAUAUUUGGAUCGAACGCUUUGUCUAUUAAUCCCGUAGGAGCACAGCUUCGUAUAAUCAUCAGAACAUGAGCCAUCAUUUUACGAAUCUGAUUUAGCAUAAAAGAAUUACCUUUAAUCGUAACAGGAAUCCAUUCCCAGUUUUCAUAAACAAAAGGAGUUCCGCAAGUAACACUCUCAAUGAAUCGAUAAUUACUUGGUGAUGUGGAGUCAUCAGUGACAGUAAAGUUAUGAAAAUUAUGCCGGCCUUCGUAUUUCUUUAAAAGCUGUUGUAAAACCUUUAAACGAUCCUCUUUUAUACGAUAAUUCAUAUAGCAAUAAUAUUCAGCUUGCUUUAAAGCCUUCUUUAAUUUUGCUUGGGGAGGUAUUACAAUCCCAGCCGGAAUAGGCUUUUCAUAGAACAUACCUUUAAAUGGGUUAGUGAAUGCAUCUUUAUUAGUAUCAAACAUUUCUUGUAUUUCCUUCUGCUUAAGCUUCACUGUAUUCCAAAAAGAAAUCAAAUCGUUCAUUGAAUAAACUAAAUUUCUUUCUAACUCAUUAUCCAGUUUUCUUGAUAAGUUUUUCUGCAUUUUUUUAAAAAGAGGACAAGAGGGCUUAGGAGGAAGUAAAGCAAAAGAAGGAAUUAAGUAUUCAUAUGUCCUUGACUCGCAAGAAAUCCUAGGAUUAAAGUACUUUGGCGCAGGAAAGACACUCCACACACGAAUUUGAGAACAAAGUGCUUCAUUCAACUCAGUUUUAAGUAAGGAAAUAUCUAGUGGCUUAUCGACAAAAAGAUUUAAUGAUAUUAAAUUUCUUAAUGUAUGGACCCCUUUGUCUGUUCUAGCUGCUCGCGCAAUACACAAAUGUUCAGCAUCAAUGUUAUUUGUUUUUAAAUAGCCCAAUUUUUUAAGUACAGCUACAACAUCUCCUUCAAUUGUUUUAAGGGGAUUAUUUAUUUGAAUCCCAUGGUAACCAUAACCAGAAUAUCCCAAUAAAAUGAUGAUACGAACUUUGUUAGAUUCUUUUGUGCCCUCGAUUUUUUCUCGCUUUGGUAAUUUUGGUGUUUCUAGAUCCUCUGCGGGUAUAUGCUCCUGUUGAUUUUUUCUUUUCGAGAUAGAAGUCAUUUUUUAUAAAACAAAUCUUCUAAAAAAAUUUAAAGAAAAAAAAAACACCACAGUUUACUAUUAAUUACAAAAACGUAUUAAAACAAAAGACACAGAAAAUAUUGGUGUUUAAGUGUGGUAUGGACGCAAUCAAGAAUGAUGCACACGAGAUUGAAAUACGCUCAUUUUUUAGCGACAUAUUAAAAGUCUUUACAACUAAAAUAUUAGAUACGAAAAUAAGAUAUCCUAC